rnacentral:lncRNA from 1 species
UUAAUAUUACACUUUUUGAAACCAUUUUUAUCAAUUUUCAAUUUCAUGUGUUGUUUCCGUAUAUGUUCUGUUUCAUUGCUCAUGUGUUGUUUUCGUAUAUUUUAGCCGCUCGUCUUGAGCCUACUCAUUUGAUCCGAUAACACCCCAUAUAGCAAUAAAAUUAUACUUUUAUUGCCAUUCAUAACUCUUAACAGACCAAUUAACAGACCGGGUUUUAUACAUCCGACCCAUUAACAGACCAAGUUUUAAAUAAAGAUUGAUUUAUGUCACCAAAAUACAGAUUUUGGUGUAGAUUUUUCACACAAUG